rnacentral:rRNA from 1 species
UGAGUAACGCGUGAGUAACCUGCCUUCAAGAGGGGGAUAACAUUCUGAAAAGAAUGCUAAUACCGCAUGACAUAUCGGAACCACAUGGUUUUGAUAUCAAAGAUUUUAUCGCUUGAAGAUGGACUCGCGUCCGAUUAGUUAGUUGGUGAGGUAACGGCUCACCAAGACCGCGAUCGGUAGCCGGACUGAGAGGUUGAACGGCCACAUUGGGACUGAGACACGGCCCAGACUCCUACGGGAGGCAGCAUG